GGGCGUGGCGGUAGCGAGGCCCCGGGUUCGAUACCCGCGCCAGGCAAUCCCAGUGGCAGCCGUCGGGCAGCCCUUUCUCGCGGGAUUUCCCUACGAGGAAAGGAACAUCCUCCAUCCUCCCAUUCGUUGUUGGAAGUCCCUUAACCACGGGACAGGACGCCAGGUCAUGGAGACCUUACAAGUCCUCACAUCCCUACUGUCCUUCUGUUGGUACUGUCCUGCUCACCACAAGAAAGUCAAAAACUUCCACACUGUGUGGCUGGAUGACACCAUUUCACAGGCACAAGGUACGACCCUGAAAAAGCCUAAAUUGGUUUCAGAAUUCCCCUCUGCUGAUCAUCCUUCAGUGUUGUAAAACCUACACUCACGUCAAUAGAAACUGAUUUCAGGCACCUCCCAAGUUCUGCUUCAUGUCUCAAUGUCACUAAUUCCCCAUCAGGCACUCCUCUUUUGAUACCCCUGGCAAGCUGACAAGAAGUCCCAAAUGUGUCCUUCCACAGUGCUUUUGAGUGUUUCACUUGGCACAUUUCCACCUAUUCUUCCAUCAGUGGUUGUGCUCGGUGCUUUCACAUGAUACUUGCUGUAGCAUGGGUGGCACAAGGGAUUAUGAUUAGAAAUAACACCCAUCUCUGAGCUAUGUAAGCACAGGCAGAGGAACUGACAGCUGAGCAGAGAGCAAGUUCACAUGAGCACCUUUGCAAUGUCUGUUGAACUGGCACAGCCAUUAUCUGCAAAGGAUACUCGCCAGGCACCUUCAGCAGAAUCCCUUCUAAUAAUUACAAAACCAGACAGAAAACAUACCUUGUAAGGCAAGUUUGCAAGAAGGUUGUUUAUGAUCUCUGGUCUGGUACAUCAGAUUCACAAACAGUGAAAGCAUCAGACUAUAAGGGGACUAGAAGCUGGGUCGCAACCACUGUAUCUAGUGUAUCCUCACAUGGAAAAGGAGAAUGAAGAAGCACCAGCCUGAAGACAGACCUGAUAAACACAGCUAGCCAAAAAGCCCCCGUCUCAUACACAUACCUAUUGUAAAAUCCAAGUUGACAGCAGGCUCUUGAUAGUUGCAGACCACACAAAGCAAGUAAGUGCUUUAUCUUUUGAAACAUCAAGUCUGUUUUCUGCAGGAAGAGAGAGCUUUUUCUUGUACCAUAGAUCCCAGUACCAUAAUUCCCAUCACUGAUCUGGAAAAUAUAAUCAACAGCAGUAAAAUGUCCUUCCCUCCCCCCUGCCGCCUCCCUCCUUGAUGCUUUAAUGACAUUCCCAUCUGCUUUUCCACAAUCAAAUUGAGCUUGGACAGGUAUUUUCUGCAACCUCACUUGUUUAAAAGGCUUACAGCAGUGCUGGGUUACCAGUGGGCUUGCCAUGCGGUUCGGUAUCUCUGGAGGUUUUUACACCGCACAAUAUUACCCUAAGGUGUAGUCCCUCUGAGUACAGACAGAUCUUCAAUGAAGCAACAAGCAACUGAGCUGAAUGCCGACUGCUGCUAACAUGGUGGUGCUCCUCAGUGACAGAGGGGUGGAAGGGCACUGAUCAAGGCAAGAGUGGGUGGCCCUGAGCCUUUGAAGGGGUACUGCACUGACACUGGCAGUAACCCCGCUCUUCCACAUUUAGGCCCGAAGAUGCAUGAUGAAACCACACGCAAACCCAUAGUGGAACGACUGGGACAAAAGCUGAGGAUGGCUUUGCUUGAUGGGUAUUGUCAAGCUCUCAAACAGGGCUGUGGGAAAGAAGAGCUGAGGUUUUGUUGUGAGCAGAAUGGUUCACAGGCCUGUUAUCUCCAUUAAUGGUCCAUUUGUAACAGGCUUAAACUCCUCACGCAUGCUGAGACUGCCGAGAAAUUAGACAGCAUUGUGUGUUGCAGCACAAACCUGUGUUUUUUAAGCUUGAACCAUCCAAAGCAAACUCAAAAAACAGCUCAGGGCCAGAGGUACCACGUUUGUCCACAGUUACACAGCACAGAUGCCACCCAAUUAAAAGAGGGGUAACCCCAAGCCGUGUGGACAUAAAUCAUCCAUUGCCCCUCAGCCUCAGGGCAGAGAACAGGUUCCUGCUUGUCUUUCAUUUUGCAGUAUAGCUGUAGGCUUGAAAUCUUUACUCCCGUGGCCAUGGCAGUCUCUCACAAGCAUGUUUCAUUCCCAUAUAAAAUUGCCUAAAUCAUCACUAAAUAUUGCAAAUACUACCUCCUCUCUGCUCUGUAAAACAGGAAAACUAGUGACAAAACCUACUAAUGGCUGAGCAAAUACCAACAGACAAUCCUGCAUGAUCUGCCAUGCACAGCUCCCCACAAAUUCAGUAAGUAAAGAUAAGGAGAACUGCAGGGCCAGCUUUCAAUCUACCUGUGACAGAUGCACUCUUGACCAAACUUGCAGUAGUUUGGUUCAGUCUCGAAAAGAAGCAAUGGCCUUGGCCAUAACUGGAUCCAAACUUUCUCUAGUUCCAACCUGUUCUUUGAAAACCCGUACAGGAACAGGGUGACAUGGUGAACAUCAAUGCAUAUGGGCUUGGAAACUGGAACAUUGACCAUGUGAUUAACACAUGAAUAGCAGGUGAUUCUUCCAAGACUCAUUUAUCAAGGAACAAAGAAAGCUGUGAGUACAAGGAGUCUCAUAUUUACCUUUUCCACCUCAUGCAAUUUGACUACAAGCCAAGCACUUUAUUCCACAAACAUGACAGCCUGAGGGAGCCACCUUUAAGCUGUUCCUGUUAAGCAGCUGACUGCACAGCAAUGAUCUUCCCUUGAGCACAGACACCUCUCAAGGUUACUCCUCAAGGCUGAGGCACCCCUUACCAACUGCAGAUCAUUGGCAAAACCUCACACCCAGAUCAGAUUAAAUUAUCCCGUGUCACUACAUGAGAAGACUGUGUCCAACUCCUGCGAUUUCCUUCUGUCCCUGCUAUUUCAAUUCUCUGAGAAGACAUCACAAAAAUACCACUAUGAUCCCCUAACCCUGCAGUUAGCUACAACACGGCGUGGGGCGGGAGAAUGUUUUCUUAAAGCUCUCAAGACUGGAGUGUAAGUGAAGGGUGGAGAAGGGAAGGCUGUGCGAGUAGUUAGUGCUGGUCUCAGGGAACAUGUUGAAGGACCGAUAAUGGAAAAGGGAUGGGGCAUAGCUUCCAGCACGCCAGAUUAGCUCACAGUGUGAAACAAUCUCAUGAAGAAAGAUCAUCAGAACUAUUUAAAUGUAUAAGAUGAAAGGUCAAAAUUAACAUACGUAUUCAGCACAGUGAAAAAUGAAUCUAUUAAGGCCAC